rnacentral:lncRNA from 1 species
GACUCCUCGUUAAUCUCUAAGGUUGGAAAAAGAAGUUUCUGAAGUUUACUAAAAAACCCUCUGAAUUAAUUCUGCCUUUGUGUGGUCAGCCUGUGAGUCUGGAGCACACCUGAACCAAGGAGCAAAUUAAGGUUAAGUGCAGUUUGCCUGAGAAACCAUAACUACCAUACCUGGGUGCAACAAAGUGUGGAAGCUCUUGAAGCCCCAACUCAUUAUUGAGAGAACACAAUUGUGAAGGAGAUCUGAAGCUGCACUGCAAGGUGUGAGGUUUCUGGAAGAAAAAGA